UUAAUCUUAUUUUCUUGAGUGUAGUAAGAGGUUUGCUGCUAAUGUGUGAGUGUAGACCGCACAGUUGGGCGAGAUUUUGCGUCAUCGUGGAACUCGGCAUUAAUUACAGAUGCGUUUGACUAGUUGCAAAACAUUAGCUGUAGCUAGCUUUUAGGCUAACGUCCACACCACGUUAGUUGACUGGUUUGCUAACGUUAGCUUGCCGUUAGCAGUGCGUAUAAUUGGUUUAAGAAGACAAUUUGAAGUUAAUUUUGUAAUUCAAACUCUCAUCAGCAACUUGGAAGAUGACCACACCGGAUGUACGCCUCAAUCAUACAAUCUACAUCAACAACUUGAACGAGAAAAUCAAGAAAGAUGAGCUGAAGAAAUCUCUGUACGCAAUCUUCUCACAAUUCGGACAAAUUUUGGACAUCUUGGUCGCACGAAACGUGAAGAUGAAGGGUCAGGCCUUUGUCAUCUUUAAAGAGGUUAACAGCGCCUCUAAUGCUCUGAGAUCCAUGCAGGGGUUUCCUUUUUACGACAAACCCAUGCGCAUCCAGUAUGCAAAGCUGGACUCGGACAUCAUAGCUAAAAUGAAGGGCACUUAUGUGGAGCGUGACCGUAAAAAGGAGAAGAAGAAGCCCAAACCUGAAACAACUGGAGCUAAGAAGGGUGUACCAGGAGCACCUGCAUCCAUGGUUGCUGGGGUCCCUGCUGCCAUGCCUGGAAUGCCUCCAAUGAGCCAGGCUCCCCGCAUGAUGCACAUGCCAGGCCAGCCACCUUACAUGCCCCCUCCAGGUAUGAUGCCUCCUCCAGGGAUGGCACCUGGUCAGAUGCCUCCUGGUGCCCUGGCUCCUGGUCAGAUGAUGCCCGGACAGAUGCCAGGACAAAUGCCUCAGCAGGUUGCAGAAAAUCCACCCAAUCACAUCCUCUUCCUCACCAACCUUCCAGAGGAGACGAACGAGCUCAUGCUCUCCAUGCUCUUCAACCAGUUUCCUGGGUUCAAAGAGGUACGUCUGGUCCCUGGUCGUCACGACAUCGCCUUUGUGGAGUUUGAGAAUGAAGUGCAAGCCGGCGCUGCACGAGAUGCACUACAAGGCUUUAAGAUCACACAAACGAAUGCAAUGAAGAUUUCGUUUGCUAAGAAAUAACCACUCUCAGGACUAGUCAUUUUCUGCCAUAAUACCCCCCACACACACACACACACACACACACACACACACACACACACACACACACACACACACACACACACACACACACACACACACACACACACACACAGGUCUUUUUUUAAAUCAGUUUUAGAAAUAUACUGGAUUGGUGGCGGAUUUUUUUCUCCCUCCGGGAUUACAUUUGGACUUUUCUUCUUGUUGAUGUCUGUCAUAAAGCAUUGCACCCAGAGUCUGGUCCACCAGACACUGUACCUGGAGCUUUUUCUUUUUUUAAAUAAAACUUGUGAUGAUGCUCUUCACAUAAAACAUA